UACCAGCACCCCGAGUGGUCGGGACGAUUAUUGGGCCUAAAGCAUCCGUAGCCGGUCCUGCAAGUCUUCCGUUAAAUCCAGCUGCUCAACAGAUGGGCUGCGGAAGAUACUAUAGGGCUAGGAGGCGGGAGAGGCAAGCGGUACUCAGUGGGUAGGGGUAAAAUCCUCUGAUCCAUUGAAGACCACCAGUGGCGAAGGCGGCUUGCCAGAACGCGCUCGACGGUGAGGGAUGAAAGCUGGGGGAGCAACCGGGAUUAAGA
rnacentral:rRNA from 1 species